rnacentral:rRNA from 1 species
GAUGAACGCUGGCGGCGUGCUUAAUACAUGCAAGUCGAACGAAUGGAUGUCUAGCUUGCUAGACUGAAGUUAGUGGCGAACGGGUGAGUAAUACAUAGGCAAUCUGCCCUGAAGUGUGGGAUAGCUAUUGGAAACGAUAAUUAAUACCGCAUAGGUAGUAAGAAGGCAUCUUCCUACUAUUAAAGAUGCGUUUGCAUCGCUGCAGGAUGAGCUUAUGGUGUAUUAGCUAGUUGGUGAGAUAAAAGCCCACCAAGGCUAUGAUACAUAGCUGGUCUGAGAGGAUGAACAGCCACAUUGGGACUGAGACACGGCCCAGACUCCUACGGGAGGCAGCAGUAAGGAAUCUUCCACAAUGGGUGAAAACCUGAUGGAGCAAUGCCGCGUGAAUGAAGAAGGUCUUCGGAUCGUAAAGUUCUGUUAUUAGAGAAGAACAAGUCAAGGAGUAACUGUCUUGACUUUGACGGUACCU